rnacentral:rRNA from 1 species
GGUGAUGUAAUGGCUCACCAUGGCGACGAUCAGUACGGGUUCUGAGAGGAUUAUCCCCCACACUGGUACUGAGACACGGACCAGACUCCUACGGGAGGCAGCAGUGAGGAAUAUUGGUCAGUGGGNACGAACCUGAGCCAGCCAUCCCGCGUGCAGGAUGACGGCCCUAUGGGUUGUAAACUGCUUUUCUAUGCCAAGAAACCUUACUACGUGUAGUAAGUUGAC